AAGCUCGUAGUUGAAUUUCGGGGUUAGUAGGUUGGUCAUGCCACUGGUAUGUACUGGUCUCACUGAUUCCUCCUUCCUGAUGAGCCGUAAUGCCAUUAAUUUGGUGUUGCGAGGAAUCUGGACUGUUACUUUGAAAAAAUUAGAGUGUUUAAAGCAGGCUAACGCUUGAAUACAUUAGCAUGGAAUAGUGAAAUAGGACGUUCGAUCUUAUUUUGUUGGUUUCUAGGAUUGACGUAAUGAUUAAUAGGGAUAGUUGG
rnacentral:rRNA from 1 species